rnacentral:rRNA from 1 species
UACGUAGGGCGCAAGCGUUAUCCGGAAUUAUUGGGCGUAAAGAGCUCGUAGGUGGUUUGUCGCGUUGUUCGUGAAAACUCACAGCUUAACUGUGGGCGUGCGGGCGAUACGGGCAGACUGGAGUACUGCAGGGGAGACUGGAAUUCCUGGUGUAGCGGUGGAAUGCGCAGAUAUCAGGAGGAACACCGGUGGCGAAGGCGGUUCUCUGGGCAUGACCUGACGCUGAGGAGCGAAAGUGUGGGGAGCGAACAGG